UACAAGAGUUUAAAAAACCCUUGUACAUCUUUUAAAACCCUUUUAAACCCUUUUAAAAUCUCUUGUAAAUCUUUAAAACCCUUUUAAAAUCCCUUGUAAAUCUUUUAAAUCAUUUUUAAGCCCUUUAAAAUCCCUUGUAAAUAUUUUAAAACCCUUUUAAAAUCCCUUGUAAAUCUUUUAAAACCCUUUUAAAAUUCCUUGUAAAUCUUUUAAAACCCUUUUAAAAUUACUUGUAAAUAUUUUAAAACACUUUUCAAACAAUUUAAAAAUCCCUUGUGAAGCUUUGUAAAUCUUUUAAAGCCCUUUAAAAUCCCUUUUAAAAUCCCGUAUAAAUCUUUUAAAACACUUUUAAAAUCCCUUGUGAAGCUAUUUCCCGCCAAAAAAAAAAUUGGCGAGAAAUUUUUUUUUCAAAAUUUUUUGGCGAGAAAUUUAUUUUGGAAUAUUUUAAGCGAAAAAUAUUAAUAUUUCAUUUUGUUUACCUAAAACAAUUUCCAAAUAGGGGUAAAAUGGUCAUUAAAAAAUUUAAAGAGGGUAGAAAUGAAAAUGACAAAUAGGAAAGAGUAUAAUUAAAAAAGGAUAAUGUGAAAAGGUCAUUUUCAGCAAUUAUUCAGAAAAGAAUAUAAGAUAAUGAUUCUGUCGGAAAAUU
rnacentral:sRNA from 1 species